GGUUGCGAUCAUACCAGCACUAAUGCACCGGGUCCCAUCAGAACUCCGCAGUUAAGCGUGCUUGGGCGAGAGUAGUACUAGGAUGGGUGACCCCCUGGGAAGUCCUCGUGUUGCAACCCCCG
rnacentral:rRNA from 1 species